rnacentral:rRNA from 1 species
AGUCACUGACAUUAGAUACCCGCGUAGUCCAGGGUGUAAACGCUGCGGGCUUGGUGUUGGGGGUCCUUUGAGGGCGCCCGGUGCCGGAGAGAAGUUGUUAAGCCUGCUGCUUGGGAGUACGUCCGCAAGGAUGAAACUUAAAGGAAUUGGCGGGGGAGCACCGCAACGGGAGGAGCGUGCGGUUCAAUUGGAUUCAACGCCGGACAACUCACCAGGAGCGACGGUUACAUGAAGGCCAGGCUGAUGACCUUGCCUGAUUUUCCG